AUUGAACGCUGGCGGCAUGCCUUACACAUGCAAGUCGAACGGCAGCACGGGGCAACCUGGUGGCGAGUGGCGAACGGGUGAGUAAUGCAUCGAAACGUACCUUUCAGUGGGGGAUAACGUAGCGAAAGUUACGCUAAUACCGCAUAUUCUGUGAGCAGGAAAGCAGGGGAUCGCAAGACCUUGCGCUGAUUGAGCGGCCGAUGUCAGAUUAGCUAGUUGGUGAGGUAAAGGCUCACCAAGGCGACGAUCUGUAGCGGGUCUGAGAGGAUGAUCAGCCACACUGGAACUGAGACACGGUCCAGACUCCUACGGGAGGCAGCAGUGGGGAAUUUUGGGCAAUGGGGGCAACCCUGAUUCAGCCAUGCCGCGUGAGUGAAGAAGGCCUUCGGGUUGUAAAGCUCUUUCGGCCGGGAAGAAAUCGCACGGGCUAAUACCCUGUGUGGAUGACGGUACCGGAAUAAGAAGCACCGGCUAACUACGUGCCAGCAGCCGCGGUAAUAC
rnacentral:rRNA from 1 species